UCAGUCCCGGAACCUUUCUGACACACCUCAGCUGCAUGCAGGUAUACAAAGAGUUUUGUUGUGUCCGCACAGUUGUCAGACACACACAGGCAUUUGCUUGUGUCCAACAGACACACACAGGUAGUGUGUCUUGGAUUACCAGGAAUGUUGGAUAGAGCAAAAUGGAGGGAGGCCAGAGAUUUUUUUUCUGCAGGAUUGGCGUAGCAGCGCCUAAACUCACAAAGCAAGAUAUUUCCGCGUAUGUUGGCAGAAAGCCACUGUUUGAUGACAACAACAACAUUUGAUGAAUGGUAACGUCUAUGCCAGCGUCUGGUGUGACAUGGCAGAUACUUGUGGUACAACGACAAUUGCUUUCUACACAACAUGGUGUGUGUCUCGGGUGUCAACACUUGUCAUCCCAUUCAUGCCUUUCCGCUAUUCUUGGUCAAACUGCCACCAUUGCACCUUUGUUAGGAAGCUGGGAAACGUGCGGGUUUAAUUCGACCCCGAGCAACCCAGUCUUUUGUGUUCAGCGGAUGACGCACCAAACGAUUUAUUGAAAGGCCCGGCGAUUAUUAGUGGGAUGGCCACUAUUUGACACAAACCGAGCGCAACCGAGGCCGAGGGUGCGGAGUGGCCGUUAAACAAGGAAAACCUGAUCCUGAUCCACAGACCGAAAGUGAGAAGUCGUCCUGACAACUUUGUGACUGAUCAAAAGGGAGUUCUAAGUCACAUUUUGGAAUUCAAAUUAUAAAGGUACAUUCCAAGCCUUCCUUCAACUUUUGGUAAAUGUUUCAACAUGCAACUGAUUUUCAAACACGACUUUGGUCAAUCUGACCAAACUUUCUGGGUUGCUGUUAUAUACAAAACAAGGACCCACGAUUCAAGGACGGUUCGAUUUGUGUAACGAUUCGUUAUGAUGCGGCUAAGUUCUCCCGGACUCACAACAUGGACGCUUGAAAUCAACGCGGACAAGGCACAAUGAAAUUUCAUACGAAACAGACAAGUUUGUUGUUGGCCUGGAAAUAGCACAAAGAUGUUUUUUUGGGUGGUGAGGGGCUGUUUUCACAUCAACCUUACAACUAACAUUUUUUUCUGGCAUCACCCAACGAUGAGGAAUCCAAAGUGAUGAUGACGGAUUCUAAAAGCGAUGACCAAAUUAAACAUUCAAAUGCAAAAGAGCAAACAGAUGCCACUCAGCUCUACAUCCAGGAAAGUUUGAAAGAGAUAGCGGCCCAAAUAGCUGAGGUUCUAUCAUCAUAUCAAUUGUUCAAGGCUGCCGUCUUGAUAGCCGAAGCAUUUGGCGUCCUCGUUGAGAAGUCACGGUGACAAGAAGCGAAGGGGAAACCGAUCUUUUUCUUCUUCGUUAUACAUUUUAUGGCUGUUGUCCGAAGCGAUUUAUAAUCCGAAAAAUACGGUACACAUUCUUCUUGGAAUAACUGAAUGUUUUUG